rnacentral:rRNA from 1 species
GAUGAACGCUGGCGGCGUGCCUAAUACAUGCAAGUCGAGCGAACGGACGAGAAGCUUGCUUCUCUGAUGUUAGCGGCGGACGGGUGAGUAACACGUGGAUAACCUACCUAUAAGACUGGGAUAACUUCGGGAAACCGGAGCUAAUACCGGAUAAUAUUUUGAACCGCAUGGUUCAAAAGUGAAAGACGGUCUUGCUGUCACUUAUAGAUGGAUCCGCGCUGCAUUAGCUAGUUGGUAAGGUAACGGCUUACCAAGGCAACGAUGCAUAGCCGACCUGAGAGGCUGAUCGGCCACACUGGAACUGAGACACGGUCCAGACUCCUACGGGAGGCAGCAGUAGGGAAUCUUCCGCAAUGGGCGGAAGCAUGACGGAGCAACGCCGCGUGAGUGAUGAAGGUCUUCGGAUCGUAAAGCUCUGUUAUUAGGGAAGAACAGAUGUGUAAGUAACUGUGCACAUCUUGACGGUACCGAAUCAGAAAGCCACGGCUAACUACGUG